ensembl:lincRNA
GAACGGAAAUGCCCUGCUCACUUUUCAACCGGGUUCUGUCCCGAGUGAUGUUUUCUCUCUGAUUCUAUAACCAAUUCUUUCAGAGGCCUGUAUGGAGGCUGUGGAGACAGGAGUUCCCGGCCUGCCAAUUGUUCGUACAGAUUCUCCCUGAUGGAGCCUAGCCUGACAGUGACCUCACAUCAUUCUAGCCGGGAGCGCCACUUGGCUGUGCAAGGAGAACGACACCAGGUGGUUCUCACAAUGCGUCCAAGAGGACCCGAAUGUAACACUCGAUGCCAGCCGUGUGGUUGGCCUCAAGCUGGGAUUCGUUUGAGCCCAUGGAAACAUCAGUGACACCCAAAAGAUCGGCAGGAGGCAACCAUGGAUGUCCUGCGGCUCAUCUCUCGGCUGGCUGGCUAGAGAAUGUAGUGUUUCACGCACAAUGGUAUGAGCGAGGGCUCCUUGAGCUCCUGAACCAUGCUAGGGCUUUUGAGGGAGGCAGGGAGGGUGAAGAAAGACUGAGAUAUCAGAAACGCAUUGGUCACCUGGGGGCCAUUUGCCUACUGAGUCCCUGGAGGUCUCAAUGAAUGGCAAUGCCCUGCUCACUUUUCAACCGGGUUCUGUCGCGAGCGAUGUUUUCUCUCUGAUUCUAUAACCAUUCCUUUUCAGAGGGCUGUAUGCAGGCUGUGGAGAGCAGGAGUGCCCGGCCUGCCCAUUGUUCAUACAGAUUCUCCCUGAUUAAGCUUAGCCUGACAGUGACCUCACAGCAUUCUAGCCGGCAGCUCAACUUGGCUCUACAAGGAGAAAGAUGCCAGGUGGUUCUCACAAUGCGUCCAAGAGGAACUGAAUGUUACACUGGAUGCCAACCGUGUGAGUGCAGGUUUCCUAGUAGCAAAAUGAACCUCAACUGUCCUGUGCUCCAAAUCCCGGGGCCUGGCAGUUUCACACUGCGAUGAUGAGCUCCUCAAGUUGCUCCUGCCUGCAGUUCGUUAGGAGUGGGACAUGUCGGCCAUUCUAGGUAGAACCCAAUGCUUCAUAUCAUUGAUUCAGGGAGAAGGGGAGCUUCAAUGCAAGGCUCUCCAAUUAACUUCGUGGCCCUGGCUCAUGGCUUUGGCAGUUCUGGUUCAGUCUGUAUUAUUCCAUGACUCUGCAGACCUCUGCAGUAUUGUUUCUGGGAGUGGGUGUGCCCUAAAUGCAGAAUCAGUCUGAAAGUUUUAUGUAUGAAUGUCACACCUGUGUGAACUUGGGCUGUGUCUGACUGGCUUUCUCAAGCAAGAUGCUUUUCCUCUGGCUUGGGGACAGUCUCGCUGCUGUGAGCAAUAGACUCUCACCAUAUCCACGGAGCAGACAGCCAUGAGGGCUGUCUCACUGGCCAGCUAAGUAGUGCCGAAAGUUUAUGAUUUGAGGAAAGGUAUGAGUCAU